rnacentral:rRNA from 1 species
GAGGRAAAGUCUGGUGCCAGCAGCCGCGGUAAUACCAGCUCCAGUAGCGUAUAUUAAAGUUGUUGCAGUUAAAAAGCUCGUAGUUGGACUUGUGUGUGUUGCUGUUCAGCGGUCUGCAUUCAAAAGAGUGUUACGACAUGCGGCAGUGGCGCCGUAAAAUCUUCAACUGGAUCGCAACUGGACUUAAUUGCCUGGUUGCAGUCAUUCGGUUGAUCGUUUACUGUGAGAAAAUUAGAGUGUUCAAGGCAGGCAUUAUUGCAAUUGAAUAUGUUAGCAUGGAAUAAUAAGAUAAGGCUUUCGCGAUUUUGUUGGUUUCUAGAUCGGAAGUAAUGAUUGAUAGGGACAGUUGGGG